AGUUCUCACCGCUUCUUGGGCUGGCAGAGGUCGCCCUUCUCCUGGACCUCAGGGAGGAAUGACCCCGUUGCUAUGGAGAAAGGUGGAGGGGAAGGCUGAGAGGUGGUGUCUCCAGCCUCCUUGGACAAGGGAGGAGCUUCGCUGCUUUUUUAAGGUACCAUACAGAGAUUUUUGGAGGGUAUUGUGUACAACUAGUCACCUAGGUAGUCAGAGUUAUUCAGAUACAAAAUGCCUCUACCCUUGGCGAGAGCCUAGUAAACAUUACCUUCUUUCUCCACACAUUUAUGUAAAGUAGAACGUUAGAGUCAGCUUUGUGAGUUUCAUUAUGCUCAGUAAGGAAUAAGGGAAAUAGAGUUUACAUAGCGCCAUGACAGGAAUGAUAAAACAUCCGUUAGAUCGCACCGAAGCUGGAGGACGAAAGAGGAAUUUUGUCUCACAGAAAAUGCCUCUCCUGCCUGUGUAAUCGGUGAGUGUGUCUAGCCCUGUAAGGAACAGUGUUGUAUUCAUAUAAUAUUUCUUCCUCCAUAUUCUUAGAUAUGCUUCUUUUAGGAUUGUAGCAACUUUCUAAACAGAAGAGCCACUUAGCAUAUGCCAUUUUAAAGUAGAACAGUGUCUGUAGUGUUCACAGUCAGAGCACUUGUGCAAAGGGGACAUCAGAAUACCAGAAUAAAGGUUUGGGACACCUAGCUUUCAUCUCUUUGAUGGGAAAUUUUGAUCAUUGAUACUGUUACUGCAGGGACAGUGCUUGCAUGGGGAGUUGAGAUCAUCUUAGAAAAACAGUUGUGAAAUGAAAAUUACUGAAACCUAUUGUAUUAGUCAGGAUUCUCCAGAGAAACACAGAACCAAUAGGAUACAUAGAUGUACAAGAGGGGAUUUAUUAUGGGACUUGGCUCAUCCAGUUAUGGAGGCUAAGAAGUCCCAGGAUAUACCUUUUGCAACCUGGUAAGACACGAAGGUGGGUGGUAUCAUUCAGUCUGCAUCUGAAGGCCUGAAAACCAAGGGAGCCUAUGGUGAAAUUCCCAGUUGGAGGCUGAAGGCCUGAGAACUGGGUGAGGGUCAUUCUUGUAUGUUCCAGAGUCCAAAGGCCCAAGAUCCAAGAACUUUAAUGUUGGAAAACAGAAGGUGGAUGAUCCAGGGCAAGAAGAGAGUAACUUGCUCUUUCUCUGCCUUUUUGUUCUAUCUUGGCUCUCAAAGCAUUGGAUGUUGGCCCCUAACACUGAUGAGGCCAGAUCUCCUUUACAUUGUCUACAGACUCAACUGCUAAUAUCUUCCAUAAACAUUCUCACAGACAUAUCCUGUACUAAGGUUUUCCCAACUAUUUGGGUAGCCCUUAAUGCAGGCAAGUCGACACAAAACAUUAUACGUCACAACUAUUAAUAAUCUUGUGGCUAGGCCAAGCGCGGUGGCUCAUGCCUGUAAUCCCAGCACUUUAGGAGGCCAAGGCAGGUGGCUCAUGAGGUCAAGAGAUCAAGACCAGCCUGGCCAACAUGGUGAAGCCCUGUCUCUACUAAAAAUACAAAAAUUAGC
rnacentral:lncRNA from 10 species